UACGUAGGGUGCGAGCGUUGUCCGGAAUUAUUGGGCGUAAAGGGCUCGUAGGCGGUCUGUCACGUCGGGGGUGAAAACACGGGGCUUAACCUCGUGCCUGCUUCCGAUACGGGCAGACUAGAGGUAUGCAGGGGAGAACGGAAUUCCUGGUGUAGCGGUGGAAUGCGCAGAUAUCAGGAGGAACACCGGUGGCGAAGGCGGGUCUCUGGGCCGUUACUGACGCUGAGGAGCGAAAGCGUGGGGAGCGAACAGG
rnacentral:rRNA from 1 species